GUGUCAGCAGCCGCGGUAAUACGGAGGGGGCAAGCGUUAUUCGGAUUUACUGGGCGUAAAGCGCACGUAGGCGGCAUUGCAAGUCGUAGGUGAAAGCCCUCGGCUCAACCGAGGAAUUGCCUUCGAAACUGCGCUGCUUGAGUCCGGGAGGGGGGAGCGGAAUUCCCAGUGUAGCGGUGAAAUGCGUAGAUACUGGGAGGAACACCGGUGGCGAAGGCGGCUCCCUGGACCGGUACUGACGCUGAGGUGCGAAAGCGUGGGUAGCAAACAGGAUUAGAUACCCUAGUAGUCC
rnacentral:rRNA from 1 species